CGGGGGACAUUUUCUGCAAGUCCAUCCUGUGUGUGCAUGCUGUUACGCGCAGGACUCGACGUGUUUGCGUUUAACAUACCUGUGAAAAAGCUUGUUGGCUGCAUGUUUUUGAGUCAGUAUUUUGACACAUGAUUUGGGUUUACAUGGAAUUUAAUCCCAAUUUGAUAAAGUAUGAAGGUGCAAAUUGUAGCAGCGUUACUAGGCCGCAUCGUCGUGGAAAUGUGGAGUAUGAUGUGCUGUCCACAGAGCAGGGGAUAAACUCGGGUCGGUUGCAGUGUUUCUUGAUGAUUGCACAUCCACACGUGGGCAGAAGGCCGGCUAAGGCCUCCAUGACUUUAUGAUGGAAUGCAGAAAAUGGGCUGUGUGGAUGUAUCCUUGGAAUAUCCGUAUGCUGUAGUAAGU